CAUCGGUGGCGCCAGAGCUGCCGGCGUCGACUCGAAGACCCACGGAAAGGCGGGCUGGCGGCCGUGACGCAUAAGGGCGGAAUGGACGGGUCGGGUUGCAGCGGACGGGGGCAGGUUCGCGAGGAGGAAUCGACCUUUGCCCUGAACUUCCUGUUAACCCCGACGUCCGGGAACCUGGGUCCGCGGCCCCGGGCACUGCUCGGCGGCCCUCUCGCAUUGCCCGCGGAGCGUCCGUCUGUUUGAGCACCUGCGACCUGGAGGGAGCGUCACUCGAGCAAAACCCUGGACUGUCGGGAACUGGGGCUGGGGGCCUGGUCAGCCGGGAGUGGUCUGUGAGUUUGGGGGACCCGAUUACACAAAGCCUUGUAAAUCGGUUGGCUUUAUUUAUCCUUAGAGCAACGAGUAGGCUGUGAAGAGCCUUAGCAGAGGGCCUGUUGAAGGCACAGAUUUGGAUAAGCCCCCCAGAGAACAGCAGAGGGGCAAGAAGAGUGCUCUGGGAAUUCCCUCACUUAAGGCACAAAUAGAAGAGGAAGCUUUGGAGGGUCUUUGAACAGGAACAACCAAUGAUGGGAAAUAAACACUGGUUGAUAGUUGUCACAGAACCAAAAGGAACAGAGUGUUUCAGGGGGGUGGAAGUUGUUAAGAAGUGUCAGGUGUCCCCAGAGAGGCAGCUUACGGGAAAGUGCUUUUGGCUCCAGACCCAGGUUUCCUGGAAGCUGGCACAAAGGUCAAAGCCUCCCCCCACAUCUCACGAGUCCCACAUCCAUGCUGUCCUGCCAGUCUGUGUCUCCGUGGGUCUUGAAGUUGACAGCAGCCAGCUCAGGUACCACCAAUGUUUCCACACUUCAGGAUGAUACUUUCUCACAUGUGAAACUGACAUUAAAAAAAUGAAGGAAUUGAAAGUUGAAGUUGAGAUGGUCGACAUCUAACUAGGGAUCAUGAAUUUUCCUAAAAACGCCACAAUAAUAGGAAGAGUUGGCACAGAAGUUACUUAGUAAGUGCUGAAGUCUGUAAGCAUGAGGCUAAAGGGUGGUAAAACCAAGUGGCAUGACCUUUGAAGAUGUUUGGAAGGUGGACAGCAAGGAGGAGGGCGAUACCUGCCAUCCUGCCAUCCUGCCAUCCACUCCUACUUUGGAAGGUUUGAAGGGAAGACACAGAUGUGCAAUUAGG